UAUACCCAGUUCUAAGGAAUAGCCUCGGGAAACUGAGAGUAAUACCUUAUACGCCCUUCGGGGAAAGAUUUAUCGGAAUUGGAUUAGCCCGCGUUAGAUUAGGUAGUUGGUGGGGUAAUGGCCUACCAAGCCUACGAUCUAUAGCUGGUUUGAGAGGAUGACCAGCAACACUGGGACUGAGACACGGCCCAGAUUCCUACGGGAGGCAGCAGUGGGGAAUCUUGGACAAUGGGCGAAAGUGAUCCAGCCAUGCCGCGUGAGUGACGAAGGCCCUAGGGUCGUAAAGCUCUUUCAACUGUGAAGAUAAUGACGGUAGCAGUAGAAGAAACCCCGGCUAACUCCGUGCCAGCAGCCGCGGUAAUACGGAGGGGGUUAGCGUUGUUCGGAAUUACUGGGCGUAAAGCGCACGUAGGCGGACUAUUAAGUCAGGGGUGAAAUCCCGGGGCUCAACCCCGAACUGCCUUUGAUACUGGUAGUCUUGAGUUCGAGAGAGGUGAGUGGAAUUCCGAGUGUAGAGGUGAAAUUCGUAGAUAUUCGGAGGAACACCAGUGGCGAAGGGGCUCACUGGCUCGAUACUGACGCUGAGGUGCGAAAGUGUGGGGAGCAAACAGGAUUAGAUACCCUGGUAGUCCACACCGUAAACGAUGAAUGCCAGACGUCGGGUAGCAUGCUAUUCGGUGUCACACCUAACGGAUUAAGCGUUCCGCCUGGGGAGUACGGUCGCAAGAUUAAAACUCAAAGGAAUUGACGGGGGCCC
rnacentral:rRNA from 1 species